rnacentral:lncRNA from 10 species
AAAUCACUCAAACAAGAUAAUUUAGCUCCUUGCUCAACAAUUCCUCCUUUUCUCUUCAACUCCAGGGUUAUUGAUUGAGGUCCUGCCUGAAUACAUUUUACUAGAGUUUAGAGAAUUGUAAUAGUUGCAUUGUUUCUCUGGUUACAACCUCAAAAUGCACUGCAGAUUUCUUCAACUGAAAUUGCUCCAAUGUUAAUAUGUUGUGGGAAUGAAAGACUGAUUUCAGCACUUAAGCUACACCACCAGAGGAAACAGCAGUGAGGAGAAACCAAGCGCGAUCAUGGGACAAGAGGUCUUUUCUUCCUGUCUUCAUCUGCUGAUCUGCUCACCUGAUAUUCACUGAGCACCAAGUUUAUGCCAGGCUGAAGUCCUGGCUGGAAUGCUUCUUGUAUCAUAUCAUUGGAGAUUGGAAGAAUUGAGAUGUUUCUUGCUGUGGUUGUCCAACCCAGCUCUAGUUUGUCAGCCAGUAUUCUGCAUGCACAAAAGUAGUGUUUAAUCUAAGAAGACUCGAGGCAAGAGAGUAAGUUAUCAUGGGUUGUCUUUCUGCUGUAAACAGGCAAUAAAAUAAGAACUCUGCUCACUAAUCACUUACCUGCCCCCCUCCUGGAUGAGACCCUGGCAAAAGCUAGAGCUACAAAGUAGAGGUGUAUCCAGCCUUUCCCAACGUACUUUAAUGUAACUACUACUACUAAUACCUUGUUAGAAAAUAAAAAUUCCAGGAUAAAUGCAAACCAAAAUGGAUUCUAGGACAGCAGGCACAAACCAGGACUCUGAGACAAAUCUGAAAGUACAGUCUACCUAGAUGGAAGGAUGAACACCCACCCGAGAGAAGGGUGCAGGGAAAGCAACAUCUUCAGGGAAACAGUUUCAGAUUCAGCUAGAAGCAGGCCCAGGUCUGGCUUCAGGCAACUGUCCCCAAGCCUGUUUCCCAGUGGACCAAUAAAUCUCCACCCUCAGACACAACUAGAGAUGCAGGCAUUUUCCAGGCACUGCUUGGCCUGGUCAGAAGAGUGGGCAGCACUUGGGCAUUCUUCCAUCGUGGCCUUUUUAGGGGUUGACUUUUUUAUAUUUUGCAGUGGCAGCAGCUCAGAAACAUUUUUCUGCUGUGAAGAUUAGCUUUCAUCUUUGCAUUGUGGUUUCUAGUUUGGAGGCCACAGAGAUAAUAAGGCUAAAGCCUUCUUCCUGUUGUCAGAAGUCUCCUUGCUUAGAAUAAACAAAGUCUCCAAGGGCACAGGGUCAUUGCAAGCAAAUUAGAGUGAUGCUCACCUGAUGGAAUGCAAAAGACCCACCCAAAAAUCUCCCACAAUGUUCUACUACCACAGCCGAUGCUUUGUGAUAACUUUGCCCUCGUAAAAUAUCGACAGCCUCUGGAAAGAUAGAAUAACCACUUCUUUUUCAUAUUUCACUGUGAACUACUUUGUCAGCCUUCUUUUCAUCAAUAUUAAAGAGGCGAGCACAUGGAGAAACCUGGAAUGAGCAUGGUUCAGAAGGAGGACUUACAGAUCAAAAGGGCAAAGACAGGGCAAAAGGGCAGACAGGUGUGCGGAGGCAGGGGGUGAGCCUGGUGAGAGCCAGGUGCCUGAGACAAGUUACCUACUGCGCAACUUUGUUAGGAGCAGUUCAACUGGAGGAAUCUGGCUGAGUAGCAUUUCUUUGUUUUUGCUCUUUGAAUUUUGGUCUUAGAAAUACUUUAGGUGAAAUUACUUGACAGUCCAUAUUUGUUGUCCCUGUGUCUGGUCUGGACUUGGCAGCAAAA